rnacentral:rRNA from 2 species
UGGGGUGAAGUCGUAACAAGGUAGCGCUAGGGGAACCUGGCGCUGGAUCACCUCCUUAUACGAUGAU